AGCGAAAUGCGAUACUUGGUGUGAAUUGCAGAAUCCCGUGAACCAUCGAGUCUUUGAACGCAAGUUGCGCCUGAGGCCAUUAGGCUAAGGGCACGUCUGCCUGGGCGUCACGC
rnacentral:rRNA from 3 species